UCGUGCUACUAGAUGGGCCUAUAUUGGAUUAGCUAGUUGGUAAGGUAAAGGCUUACCAAGGCGACGAUCCAUAGCUGGUUUGAGAGAAUGAUCAGCCACACUGGGACUGAGACACGGCCCAG
rnacentral:rRNA from 1 species